rnacentral:rRNA from 1 species
UACGGGGGGAGCAAGCGUUGUUCGGAUUUACUGGGCGUAAAGGGCGCGUAGGCGGCCACCGCAAGUCGACUGUGAAAUCUCCGGGCUUAACCCGGAAAGGUCAGCCGAUACUGCGGGGCUAGAGUGCAGAAGGGGCAACUGGAAUUCUCGGUGUAGCGGUGAAAUGCGUAGAUAUCGAGAGGAACACCUGCGGCGAAGGCGGGUUGCUGGGCUGACACUGACGCUGAACCGCGAAAGCUAGGGGAGCGAACGGG